rnacentral:rRNA from 1 species
ACAGUCUCAGUUCGGAUUGAAGGCUGAAAUUCGCCUUCAUGAUGCCGGAAUUGCUAGUAAUGGCAGGUCAGCAUACUGCCGUGAAUACGUUCCCGGGCCUUGUACACACCGCCCGUCACACCAUGAGAGUUGGGGAUACCCGAAGCCUGUGAGCUAACUUUUAGAGGCAGCAGUCGAAGGUAGAAUCAAUGAUUGGGGUGAAGUCGUAACAAGGUACC